rnacentral:rRNA from 2 species
AAAACUAGCCAGUCUUUUGGGUAUGAAACCCAUUUGGGCGAGAGUAGUACUAGGAUGGGUGACCUCCUGGGAAGUCCUCGUGGAAGGGUUUC